UACGUAGGUGGCAAGCGUUGUCCGGAAUUAUUGGGCGUAAAGCGCGCGCAGGUGGUUUCUUAAGUCUGAUGUGAAAGCCCACGGCUCAACCGUGGAGGGUCAUUGGAAACUGGGGAACUUGAGUGCAGGAGAGAAGAGUGGAAUUCCACGUGUAGCGGUGAAAUGCGUAGAGAUGUGGAGGAACACCAGUGGCGAAGGCAGCUCGCUGGAACGGUACUGACGCUGAGGCGCGAAGCGUGGGGAGCGAACAGG
rnacentral:rRNA from 1 species